AAGAUCAGAAUAUUCAUUGUCCUUUGUAGCUCUAACUACCUGCCCAUCUGCUAGAACAACUUCAUAAGACACAACAGUGUCUGAGAACAGUCCAUAAAUGUGAGAACUUCCUUCAAUCCCAUAGCCGUUGAUCAGACCACCAACAGUUAGAUCAUCAAGCUCAGCAACAACUGCAAGGGAAACAUUCAGAGGGACAGUAACUCUAGAGAUUUGUCCCAUAUUGACUAGAGGCUCGACUUUAGCAAUCAUUCGCUCCGUGUCAAUGUUAAGAACAUUUCUAAAUGGAGAAAGAUCAACUUCAAAAUGACGAGCACGCUUGUAGUCCACAUUUCUCAUUCCAACAGCAACCCAGGGCUUCCUAGCUGUGCAGACAAGACCAUCCUUAGAUGCAUUCCUCUCCUUAAGACGCUUCACAACCUUUUUAACAUUUUCAUCAUGCUCCUUCUGGCGCUGCUUGUAUGAUUUGCACUCAGACCUAACAUCCCCAAGAUAUAUGGAGAAAUAAUACAAGAACGAGAGAGGAAGGACGACGAAGAUAACAACAAUCCAUCUGAACUGGACAAGAAGGUCCAUAAUGUUUUUCUUCCUCUUAGGACGAGGGGGGGGAGCCUGAACAUCUGUCAUUUUGAAACAAGAGAGGCCAAACAGAACUGACAAGUGGAAUUUGGCGUCACCCUGAGAUGCAAGGAUAAUUGUAAUAUCAGUGACA
rnacentral:misc_RNA from 1 species